rnacentral:rRNA from 1 species
GACGAACGCUGGCGGCGUGCUUAACACAUGCAAGUCGAACGGAAAGUUCCUGCUUUUGUGCGCUGCUCGAUUGGCGAACGGGGGAGUAACACUUGAGUAACCUGCCCCUCACUGUGGGAUAUCUUCAUGACACAUGGGCUAAUACCGGAUAGGAUCUCCUGCUGCAUGAUGGGGGUUGGAUAGUUUCGGCGGUUGGGGAUGUAUUCGCCGCUUAUCAGCUUGUUGGUGGGGUAGUGGCUUACCAAGGCUUUGACGGGUAGCCGGCCUGCGAGGGUGAACGGCCACAUUGGGACUGCGAUACGGCGCAGAAUCCUACGGGAGGCAGCAGUGGGGAAUCUUGCAGAAUGGGCGGAAGCCUGAUGCAGCAACGCCGCGUGCGGGAUACCGGCUUUCGGGUUGUAAACCGAUUUCGCAUGUGACGAAGCGUGAGUGACGGUAAUGGGUAAAGAAGCCACGGCUAACUACGUG